AUGUCUCACGAACUCGCUUUUCGUUGUCGUGUCACCUCCAUUAUGGAAGCUUUGACAGCAACAGUCGUGCAAGAAAUCUGUCAAUUUAUGGGAGAAAGCUAUGCUGCUCUUCGAGUGGAAAUGUUGCAUGAACAAAAUAAAAAAGAGACAAGGAUGGAGAAGCCAGCGAACUGCCUUAAGAACGUUUCAAAACCUGUUAGCCCACCAAGUUUGGGAAACUUUCCAAUCGUGGGGCAAAUCCUCAAUAAACAAGAGGCCAACUAUCAUUGGCUAGAAGACGGUGCUGUUUUUGAAGGCCUAGCAUCACCGGUGCCAGAGACGGAGAGACGAGAGCCAUCACAGCCCGCUGGUCAGAUUACAGACACGGUACCAUGGCCAGUAUGGCUCAUCAAACAGGAGGAAAUGGCUGAUGAUGAUCUGGAAUCGGAAGGUUACGGCGAGUGGAUUCCAGAGACUCACAAGGCCAACCAGAAUAUCACAGGAGAAAGUGAUGAGGACGAGAGAAGUCCAGCCUCUGGGGGAUCCAAAGAACCUGGACUCGACGACUUCAAGAGAGAACAGAGUCCGUUGCUGGUGUCAGCUGAGGAUACUGCGACACCCAUAAAGACAAAGUAUGAAACGCGCAUGUUAAAACACACUGGGAAGCCACGUUUUCGCUGCGAUAUCUGCGGUGAGAAAUUCCAGCGUCAGAGCGGCUUGACCAGGCACCAGCGGCACAAACACAACACCGUGAAAACCUACAGUUGCACUGUGUGUGGGAAAGGGUUCACCUACAUCAAAUCCCUCAACACGCAUGAGCUCAUGCACUCUGACCUCUCUAUCCGUUCAACUAUAACUCUGGAUGAAGCCAAGGCAAGAAAAAGAGGUCUGACUGAUGAACCCACAGACAGAAAUGCAGCAGGAGAUAUGAUUAGUGCCAUCCUUCACUCAAAGCCAGGUGGAGAAAAGGUAUUCCGGGAGUAUGGGAAAACCAAAGGUCUUACGGAUAGCACACGGAGACUGAUGGUCAACAUUAUUGUGGCCGACAUGAUGGAAAACCAUGGUAGGAUCCCCCCAUCAAGUGUCCGCACCAACUACGCCCUGGGGAUUGUGACUUUAUUCCCCUACUUGAAUGAUCCAGAUUCAGAGCAUGGUUAUGAACAAUAUUACGACGCAGCUAGUGGGUCUGGUUAUCUGACCUGGAGAAUAAAGACAGUGGGGCGCAACAAAUCAUGUAAGAUCAAGAGGAGAACCAAGUCCACCUAUCAAAAUGGUCCCAAGGCUCAACACAGUUCCCCUUCAGCUGUUGAGGAACUGUUAGACGAGCAAGUGUCCAUGUCUGAGGUCUCUAUCUGCUCAGUUGGGUCUGAUUCCUCUGGAUCAGCUUUAACUCUGGAGAAAACGAAGGCAAGAAAAAGACGUCUGACUGAUGAACCUACAGACAGAAAUGCAGCCAGAGAUAUGAUUAGUGCCGUCCUUCACUCAAAGCCAGGUGGAGAAAAGGUAUUCCAGGAGUAUAGGAAAACCAAAGGUCUUACAGAUAGCACACGGAGGCUGAUGGUGAACAUUAUUGUGGCCGACAUGAUGGAAAGUCAUGGGAGGAUCCCCCCAUCAAGUGUCCGCACCAACUACGCCCUGGGGAUUGUGACUUUAUUCCCCUACUUGAAUGAUCCAGAUUCAGAGCAUGGUUAUGAAAAAUAUUACGAUGCAGCUAGUGGGUCUGGUUACCUGACCUGGAGAAUAAAGACAGUGGGGCGCAACACGUCAUGUAAGACCAAGAAGAGAACCAAGCCCACCUAUCAAAAUGGUCCCAAGGCUCAGCGAAGUUGCCCUUCAGCUGUUAAGCAACUGUCGAGGGAUGAAUGCAGAGAGGCGAUAUCUGUGCUUCAGCAUACAACAACUAAUGAGUCACUGGUUCGAGAGAAGAUGAUGGCGACGUUCCAAUACAGACAGGAGGUGGUUCAUGAUCCGGAGAAGUCCUCAACUGUCCUAGAUGUCUUCCCCAGAUUCCUUGACACUACAGGCUUGAUCAACCAAGAUUUCACCAGACUUUUCGGAGAGGUGGUGUCUGGGACAUUUAUGGCGAAGUGGCCAACAUUUUUCAAACCCAGGGUCAUCGCAGAUUGCAAAACCCUUCCCUUCAGCGAACCUGUGGAAGACCUCCUCUCAUCUGCGCAGCAGGAAUCCAAUGAUUAUGGAUGGGAGAGUGACUUGGCAGCCAUUUUGUUGCUUCUGCAUCUCCUACCCCCGACCUCAAAGGGCCCAAAGACCGCAAAGAUCCGUACCUCUCAAGCUGCUGACCAUCUGGUUAGAUUUAUGAAGGUAGGGACAAGUAUGGUGACCUUCCUUGAGACAGUUAGACAUGAGCAGCAGCCCUUCCUCCUCUGUGUCGGUGAAAGGAAGAACAGCAUUCAGAAGUUUUACAUCGUCGUUGACCAGAAGGCCAUCCCAUGCAAGACCCAAACAUCAGUGGCAGCUUUUGAUGAGCUCUUUAAGGCACACUAUGUCUUCAGUGUGUCCUACCAUGAAGCGUUGUGUAACUUCUACACAUUCAUCCAGACCACCGUGUACGGUAUCGACGUGGGGAAGGCAAAGGAGUCCUCAAGAGUCAAGGAGAUUAGAGUAAGGCUGCUUAACAAAGACCAGGGGAGUGGUGCUGCCGGAGCACAAGGGAGCGGCGCUCCGGCCCUUUUCUCAAUUUGAGAAUAAGUUAGUUUAACAGCAUCUGCUCUAUUUCACUCCUGAAACAGUAACUCAAGAAGAUUUAAAUGCAUAUCCCCAUGAAGCUGAUUGAGAUCACAUGAUUGUCAUGCAGAUGCAGUCUGGACAUUUCACCGGUAAAACGCAAAGAAUUAUCAUUUACCAUUGACACUGAUGGCCUAUUUGUAAAUUAGAUAUGCCUGACUUGAUGUUUGAGGGUAUUACAAAUAUAACAUUUUAGUGAGAGUGUGGGCAGAUGGAGGAUGCAUAUUGUAUUAUAAUAUUCAAUAGGUUACAUCUGUCAGUACAAACUUUGAUUGUAAAAUUAUGUAAUUCACUUUUUUGGGGUCAGCUCCCACAUCUAACUAAACAAAUGGCACUAUACCACUGAGAAAACAUGUGAACACUUGAGAAUUUGUAAAAUACACUACAGCAGUUGUGCAUUGCUUUUUUUGACAUAAGAAAUUGUCAUGGUUUGUCAAAAUAUACUUGAAUCUGGACAGCAUAUACACUGAACAAAUAUAAAUGUAACAAUUUUACUGAGUUCAUAUAAGGAAAUCAGUCAAUUAAAAUAAAUUCAUUAGCCCCUAAUCUAUGGAUUUCACGACUGGAAAUACAGAUAUGCAUAUUUUGUUUCAGUGCGUUAAAAAAGGCUAGGGGCGUGGAUCAGAAAACCAGUCAGUAUCUGGUGUGACCACCAUUUGCCUAAUGCAGCAAGACAUCUCCUUUGCAGUGUUGAUCCGGCUGUUGAGUGUUGUCUCACUCCCCUUCAAUGGCUGUGCGAAGUUGCUGGAUAAUGGCGGGAAUUGGAACAUGCAGUCUUACGUCGAUCCAUAGCAUCCCAAACAUGCUCAAUGGGUGACGUGUCUGGAGUAUGGAAUUAUGUGCAGAUCCUUGCAACAUGGGGCCGUGCAUUAUCAUGCUGAAACAUGAGUUGAUGGUGAAGGAUUAGUGGCACAACAAUGGGCCUCAAUCUCGUCACAGUACCUUUGCAUUAAAAUUGCCGUCGAUAAAAUGCAAUUGUGUGUGUUGUCCGUAGUUUAUGCCUGCCCAUAACAUAACCCUCACUGCCACCAUAGGCCACUCUUAUCAACAUUGACAUCAAAGAACCACUCGCCCACAUGGCGCAAUACACGCCAUCUGCCUGGUUCAGUUGAAACCGGGAUUCAUCUGUGAAGAGCACAUAUCUACAGCGUACCAGUGAGCAUUUGCCCACUGAAGUCAGUUACCUCGCAGAAUUGCAGUCAGGUCAAGAACCUGGUGAGGACGAUGAGCACGCAGAUGAGCUUCCCUGAGACGGUUUCUGACAGUUUGUGCAGGAACUCUAAAGUUGUGCAAACCCACAGUUUCGUCAGCUGUCUGGGUGACUGGUUAUAGACAAUCCCACAGGUGAAGAAACUAGAUGUAGAGAUCCUGGGCUGGUGUGCUUACAUAUGGUCUGCGGUUGUGAGGCUUGUUGGAUGUACUGCCAAAUUCUCUAAAAUAAAGUGGAAGGCAGUUUAUGGUAGAUUACAUUACAUUAAAUUAUCUGGCAACAGCUCUGGUGGACAUUUCUGUAGUCAACCUGCCAAUUGCACACUCCCUCAAAACUUGAGACAUCUGCAGAAUUGGGUUGUAAUAAAACUGCACAUUUUAGAGUGGCCUUUUAUUGUCCUCAGCACAAGAUGAACCUGUAAUGAUCACGCUGUUUAAAUCAACUUUUUUGUAUGCCUCACCUGUCAAGUGUUUGGAUUAUCUUGACAAAUGAGAAAUCCUCAUUAACAGGAAUGUAAACAAAUUUGUGCACAAUUUUAGAGGAAUAAUUUCUGGGAUCUUUCAUUUCAGCUCAUGAAACACUACAUGUUACGUUUAUAUUUUUCAUUAUAAAUGAGAUUCUUCUGAUUUAAAUAAUUCGUUCUUAUUUUGUAUGUACAACACAAAUAUUGCGGGAAAAUGGAGGCCGACGAAGGUCGUCACUAGUUACCACAGCAGCAAAGUCAUAAAUCCCGCCUAUUUCUACAAUUUGUAAUUAAAAUUGUAUUUUAAUCCAAAUAUUAACUACACUGCUAACAAAUGAAGACCAAAAAGCAAAUUUCGUUUUUCAUAAUUUCUUACGAUAUAA
rnacentral:lncRNA from 8 species